rnacentral:rRNA from 1 species
UACGUAGGGGGCUAGCGUUGUCCGGAUUUAUUGGGCGUAAAGAGCGUGUAGGCGGCCAGGUAGGUCUGCUGUGAAAACUCGAGGCUCAACCUCGAGACGUCGGCGGAAACCAUCUGGCUAGAGUCCGGAAGAGGAGAGUGGAAUUCCUGGUGUAGCGGCGAAAUGCGCAGAUAUCAGGAAGAACACCUAUGGCGAAGGCAGCUCUCUGGGACGGUACUGACGCUGAGACGCGAAAGCGUGGGGAGCGAACAGG